rnacentral:siRNA from 1 species
CACAUCGUCACACAUGCA